AUGAACGCUGGCGGCGUGCUUAACACAUGCAAGUCGAACGGAAAGGCCACAGCUUGCUGUGGUACUCGAGUGGCGAACGGGUGAGUAACACGUGGGUGAUCUGCCCUGUACUUCGGGAUAAGCUUGGGAAACUGGGUCUAAUACCGGAUAGGAAUCACAUGUGGGUGUGUGGUUGGAAAGCUUUUGCGGUAUGGGAUGAGCUCGCGGCCUAUCAGCUUGUUGGUGGGGUAAUGGCCUACCAAGGCGUCGACGGGUAGCCGGCCUGAGAGGGUGUACGGCCACAUUGGGACUGAGAUACGGCCCAGACUCCUACGGGAGGCAGCAGUGGGGAAUAUUGCACAAUGGGCGCAAGCCUGAUGCAGC
rnacentral:rRNA from 1 species